CAGGCUACUGAUAUAAGAUGGUGGACUAAGCACACAUCUCUUAUAUUUUUCUGAAGACUCAUUGAAAUUAGAGGGGGAAAAAGAUUGUUAAUGAAAACAUGUGGGGGAUCUCUUAUUAUUUUUAGAUAUCAUUAGACAGAAGAUCUUAAUGAAUUUCAAAAAAUUUAAAAUAUAAAUCACUUAGAUCAUAUCAAAAAGAGUGUCCAACCUAAAAACUGACAAAAGACAAAAGUAGAGGUGGGUUUGUUUAUUCCUUGGAGGCAAAACCACAAAGAUGGUCCAAAAUUAAAUACAGUAUUUUGAAAAUUAAGAAAGAUUAGCUAGAGGCCACAAGUAAUGGUAAAUUAUUAAAGUUUUAUCUACAGAAAAUCAGUGAGAAUUAACUUAUGCCACAAUUUCCUUUGUAUGCUAUAUAUAAACUCUCAGAAUAUAACUGGA
rnacentral:lncRNA from 1 species